rnacentral:lncRNA from 1 species
GCAAACCUUAUACACAAUCGAGUGGUCUCGCCAGUGUGUUACCUCUUAUAGCUGCGAAUACCUCCUCAUUAUUGGAAUGUUUUAAAGAGGACGGACCGAAAGGUAAAUUAUAUCUCCCACUUUUUAAUUAAAAGGGUGGUCCAUACUAUCUCACUUAGUUAUACUAAUAGGCUUUUUUUUCUCUCUGAACUUUAUACGUUAUACUUGGAAAUGUUGUUAAUCUUCACUUGUAUCACUUAAUCUUAACUAAAUGAACACUAUCUUUAAUGAAACAUAGACAAAGGAAAAUAUUGGAUUUUCUUUUACAGAUAGCGAUUCAAACUGUGUGUUAUUUGCUGCUAACGUAACGAUCAUAUACGUACGCCCAUUAAAUCCAAAAACAGUCGAUGGGUUACUGAUCCUUACUCGUCGCUAACUUCCAGAUCGUUAGCUAUCUGGUCCUCUGUGGUCGCUUACUUUAUGACCUUUAGCUUACUGGUUCCGUAUGAUCGCUAACUAUCUGAUCAUAAGCCAUGCAAGCUAACUGAUACUAAUUGGUUGCUGUCUUUCUGAUCGUUAGCUUACUGAUAAUCAUUGGUCGCUUACUUUAUGAUCAUAAGCUAACCGAUCCUUAUUUAUUGAUAACUACCUGAUCAUAAGCUAACUGGUCCUAAUUGGUUGCUUACUUAAUGAUCGUUAGCUUACUGGUCCCUAAUGAUCGUUUACUACCUGAUCAUGAUCACAUUCAAUUUGGUCCUUAUUGGUAAUUUUCUUCCUGAUCGUUAACUUAUUAUUCCCUUAUGAUCGCUAACUACCUGAUCAUAAGCUAACUGGUCCUUAUUGGUCGCUUAUUUAAUGAUCGUUAGCUUACUGGUCCCUAAUGAUCGUUUACUACCUGAUCAUAAUCACACUGGUCAUUAUUGGUAGCUUACUUUCUGAUCGUUAACUUAUUAAUCCCUUAUGAUCGCUAACUACCUGAUCAUAAGCUAACUGGUCCUUAUUUGUCGCUUACUUAAUGAUCGUUAGCUUACUGGUCCCUAAUGAUCGUUUACUACCUGAUCAUAAUCACACUGGUCAUUAUUGGUAGCUUACUUUCUGAUCGUUAACUUAUUAAUCCCUUAUGAUCGCUAACUACCUGAUCAUAAGCUAACUGGUUCUUAUUUGUCGCUUACUUAAUGAUCGUUAGCUUACUGGUCCCUAAUGAUCGUUUACUACCUGAUCAUAAUCACACUGGUCCUUAUUGGUAGCUUUCUUCCUAAUCGUUAACUUAUUAUUCCCUUAUGAUCGCUAACUACCUAAUCAUAAGCUAACUGGUCCUUAUUGUUCCCUAGCUUUUGUUAUCGGUAGCUUACUGGUCCCUCCUGGUCGCUAACUUCCUGAUCAUAAUCACCCUGGUCCUUAUUUGUAGCUUACUUCCUAAUCGGUUACUUAUUAUUCCCUUAUGAUUGCUAACUACCAGAUCAUAAAGUAACUGGUCCUUAUUGGUCCCUAGCUUUUGUUAUCGGUAGCUUACUGGUUCCUCCUGGUCCCUAACUUCCUGAUCAUAAUCACACUGGUCCUUAUUGGUAGCUUACUUCCUGAUCGUUAACUUAUUAUUCCCUUAUGAUUGCUAACUACCUGAUCAUAAGGUAACUGGUCCUUAUUGGUCCCUAGCUUUUGAUAUCGGUAGCUUACUGGUCCCUCCUGGUCACUAACAUCCUGAUCAUAACCUGACUGAUCCUAAUUGGUUGCUAACUACCUGACCACUAACUUCCUGAUCAUAAGCUAACUGAUACUAAUUGAUAGCUAACUACCUGAUCAUAAACUAACUGGUUCUUAUUGGUCCCUGGCUUUUGUUAUCCGUAGCUUAUUGGUCCCUCCUGACCGCUAACUUCCUGAUCAUAAACUAACUGAUACUAAUUGGUUGCUAACUACCUGAUCAUAAACUAACUGAUUAUAAUUGACAGCUAACUACCUGAUCAUAAACUAACUGAUUAUAAUUAGUUGCUAACUACCUGAUCAUAAACUAACUGAUUAUAAUUGAUAGCUAACUACCUGAUCAUAAACUAACUGAUUAUAAUUGAUUGCUAACUACCUGAUCAUAAGCUAACUGAUUAUAAAUUAUUGCUAGCUUCUAAAUUACUAGCUAACUGAUUUUUAUUGUUUGCUUACAACUUAUUGAUAGUUUAUUGAUCUGUUUUGCUCGUUAGCUAGCCGACCUUCAAUGAAUGAUUGCUAUCUUCUUCAUUGGUAGCUUAUUGACUACUUUUUGUAGCUAACUUUCCGGUUGUAUGACCACCGAUUCUAAUAUUUUGUAAUUAGUCUCUAUCAACUAAUCUUUAAUUUACCAAUAAUAGUAUACUUACAUUUGUCGCUGCACAUAAUGUAUGAAAUGUAUAUAAAUAGGAAGAUGUUGUAUGAGUGCCAAUGAGACAACUCUCUAUACCCGUCACAACGUAUAACAUUUAAUAAUGUGCCUUUUUGUGUAACACGUUAUCACAUAAUUAAUAAAAUAUGAUUUCAGGAUAUGAUUAUAGUAACCAGUUUGAUACGUUGAUGUGGUUGGACCAUGACAAGAAGUCAUGUGAUAGUAAAUGGAUCAACGAAAACUUAUUUCCUGUUGGACACAAGAACACAGGUGUGGAAUGGUUAGACCAAAGUCUUGUGUUCUUCCUUUUUAUGGAAUGAGGUUGAAUCAAAAACACAACAUAUAUUUCUUAAAUUCUUUAAAAUGAAUUUUACUGUGCAUAUUACUAUGUGUUUCUUUAUCCUACAUUGGCAAGAGGUAUAAAAAGGGGGGGGGGGGUUGAGAUUUCACAAAACAUGUUUAACCCCGCCAGUUGCGUCUGUCCCAAGUCAGGAGCCUCUGACAUCUGUUAGUAUUGUAUGUUUUUUCAAUUUUGUUCGUUUAUAAAUAUGUUUGAGAGUGUAUUUUCACUGAACUAGUACACACUUUAAUUUAGGGCGAGCUGGGGACCAACUCCAAGUGCGGAAUUUUCUCGCUGCGUUGAAGACUGGUUGCUUGCUUCGGCUAUUGUCUGCUCUUUGAUCGGGUUGUUGUCUCUUUGACAUUUUCCCCAUUCAUUCCAUUCUCAAUUUUAAUUGUUUGAAAACAACAUUAAAAUGCACUUAAGUAAAGCUAAAAUAUCGUUUAAAAGAUAUACGUUCAAAACAAAAUCGUUUGAAGGAUGAAUAUACUUCACACAAAAGUACUCGGAAACACAACACACAACCAGCCGCUAGAAUUUAAAAUCUUUACGGAGUUGCAACCGUAGUUAUGAUAGUACAAUUUUCAAACUUGUAAGCUGAAAAGUACUAAGUUUAGUUCCGAUGUAUAAUAUUUAUUAAAUUAAUGAUGUUUUAUUCUUUUUUUUUCCCACAAAGAUACAAUAACCAAUGUUUUGGAUUUUGGAUGUGGACCCGGGAGUUUAACCAUAAAAUUAGCUGAACAUUUACCAAAUGCAAAAGUCUACGGUGUAGAUAUAGACCGAAAUUCAAUUGAAAAGGCUAAAGAAAACAAAGCGAAGGAAAAUGUACAAAAUGUCGAAUUCGUUUUAGUUGAAAACGACCAUUUAGACGAAUCAUGGACGAAGAAAUUCGAUUGGAUAACUAUGGUUGAUACACUGCAUGACCUUCCAAAUCCGAAUUUCAGUAUUUCAGACAUCAAACGAGUUUUGAAGGAUGAUGGUAUUGUAUCUGCGGUAGAUCCUUGCGUACAUUCGGACCAUACAAAGAAUCAAGGCAAUCAAAGUGCUGCAAUGUUGUAUGUUUUUAGUACAUUUCUGUGUCUCCCUAGUAGCAUGUCACGUGAGCCUGCUGCUGCAAAUGGCAUCGGAUGGGGAAUGCAGAAUAGAGCGGAAUUUAUUAAAUCGCACGGUUUAAAGAUUUUAGGUGACGAACAUAACGGACUGAUUCAGUUUCGAAAGGCAUGAACAAAUAUUAAAACAAACAUUUACCCAAUCCUUAAUUGAAUAGAUUGUAUGUAUGGUUGCCAUAUGUUAGUACUUACAAAUAAAAUAGAGGUUUGCGUAUUACCGACUUUUGAUUCAGGAAAAUAUAAGUAUUCGACGGAUGACCUACUCUUGACUUGCGUAGGGGACAUUCUAGUACUCGGCCUAGUAAUGGCUACUAAUAGAGGUAAAAUCAAGCUUACUGUUGAUGCAAUUUUGCAGAAAACAUAAUUUAAUUAAUUUCUGUACACGACAAGAUCUAAAAAAAACCCGUUAAUUUGAGUUCCUCGUAAUUGUGCUGACAAAAUGCACAGCGCAUUGACUGUUGUAUCACCUAUAAGGCAAUCAACGAAAGGUCUUGUCAUAGAUGGAAUUAUGAAGUUGUUGUUGUUGUUAUUGGUUUUGGUAGCGGGUUACAGUACUUAUGCAGUAAUUGCGCCUUAAAUGCAUAUAACAUGAAUAUUAUGUAUAUAUAUACUUUCAGUCUUUAAUUUAUUUUUAGUAUUACGUUUUUGCGAGUAAUAAUAUGAAACUUUGACGAACAUGGUUGACUGAAUUACUAGGAAAUAUAUAUAUAUAUAUGUUGAGAGACAAAAUAAAACACGUAUCAGAAGGUACAUGUAAUAGGAAAAGUACAGGAUGAAAAUUUGUAAGUGCCAUACCCCCUUUUAAAGGUGUCGUGCAUUGAACUCAUCAGUGGUUACUUUAUGUCAAAAAAUGUUUGUGGCUUGUUUUUUUUUUUUACAUUUUGGUGUUUUGAAGUAACUGUUGUUCCUACGAAUAUCGGAUCAUUACAUUAUAAAGUCAUCCUAUUUUAUGCAUAUGGUAUUGCCUUUGAGAUAACAGUACUAGAAUUUCCUUUUUAUCAUAUCCCUUUUUCUUUUUUUAGACAGUCAUAGAGGUUUAGAAAUAGGUUUAUAUUGUCGCAUUUAGCGCCUAUCAUAAGUUAGGAACCUCUGGCCUUUGUUUGUCUUGUAUUUUUCUUUAUAUGUACGAUCCAUUUUAUGAGGUACGACGUCCAUUUUCGCUGAACUAGAAUUUUAAUAUUGUUGAUGGGCUAUUUUAAAACCCGCCUCCUGUUACAGGAUUUUAUUGAUGAGUUGAAGACUUAUUGGUGACCUUAGACUGAUUUCGGAUCUUUUGUCGGGUUGUUGUCUUUUUGGCACAUCCCCCUUUGCAUUUUAAACUUAAUUAAUAUGAAUGUAGGUCAGAUUUACAAUUUAAAAUGUAUAGGAACAUUGUAAUGUACCAAAAUGAAAAUAAUACUGUAACGCACAUUUAAAAAUCUCAAAAAAUCUUCAUUACACAUGGGUUGGUUGACAUACAAAUAAAAUGCUGUCUAUAACGAACGAUACCAUUUUGGAUGUUACAAUGGAAUUGAUAAAUCCUAGUUCUAAAGAAAUAAACAUUCCAUAUUUCGAUUAAUUCAAAAUUGGCUAUUUCUUAAUUUUCACGCGUAUUUCGACAUUAAGGUUCUUCGUUACUCCUCUAAUAGGCGUUGGGGGACAUAUUUACUAUGCACCUUUUGUUCAUAUAUUGAUAACUUUUCGAAUGAGGUAUAAUAUAUAUGUAAUUAGGGGCCGAAGGGUCGCAGCAGUACGUUUCUUUAUUCCAAAUAUCCAUUUCAUUAUUCAAAGUUGAGCAUUUAGGUACUCUGUAACCCCUCUAAUGGUCAUUACCGCCCAAUUAACAAGUUCUAUUAAAAUUUUAUAACCAGGGGGGGGAGGGAGAAGAAGAUUUUUUUUUAUGAUUAUAUAUGGUUUGGUAUUCAUGUCGUCCAUACAUUAAACCAAGUAGUUUUUGUAAAAAAAAUAGUUCGGGAAACCCUCUAGUUUAGUAUGCAGUGAAAUGUUGUACGUUAUUCACAGUUUUACAUUAAAAUGAAAAUCUUCCAAAACUUAAAAGUAUUUUAGGUAAUAUUUAUAUAGAGCCUGGCAUAUGCAUGGAAUACGGCACUAGUUUAAUUAUAGUAGACUUUAAAUACAAUGUAGGUUUGUAAGAUUUGUUAUGCUAUAACAAGAAUAAUGAUAAGAUUAUUAUACAGUCCUACAUUUGAACUAAGACAAUGGACGGACAUUUAUGUGUUCUUGUAGUUAUUCUGGUUUAAUGUUGACAUGAUGUAUAUUCUCUAAAUGAAAAGAAAAGGAUAUUUUUGACUGAUCCCGACUAUUCCGACAAUCUGCAGAUGCGAAAGGAUAUUCAAACAUUGAAAGCAACCGUAGCCCAGUUACAACAACACGUGACCGAACAAAAACAAGCAAUCACUCAACUACCGUCCGCUGUAUGGAGCCUACAAAGCAUGUACUCCUCAUUACAUCUUGGCUAGCAGGAGCUGAGCAACUAUCAAAUAUUAAUUAAGACCGGUUGAGAUCUACAGGACCAAGGCGAGUAGAAAACAAAAUACCAUGAGCAGGCUANNNNNNNNNNNNNNNNNNNNNNNNNNNNNNNNNNNNNNNNNNNNNNNNNNNNNNNNNNNNNNNNNNNNNNNNNNNNNNNNNNNNNNNNNNNNNNNNNNNNNNNNNNNNNNNNNNNNNNNNNNNNNNNNNNNNNNNNNNNNNNNNNNNNNNNNNNNNNNNNNNNNNNNNNNNNNNNNNNNNNNNNNNNNNNNNNNNNNNNNNNNNNNNNNNNNNNNNNNNNNNNNNNNNNNNNNNNNNNNNNNNNNNNNNNNNNNNNNNNNNNNNNNNNNNNNNNNNNNNNNNNNNNNNNNNNNNNNNNNNNNNNNNNNNNNNNNNNNNNNNNNNNNNNNNNNNNNNNNNNNNNNNNNNNNNNNNNNNNNNNNNNNNNNNNNNNNNNNNNNNNNNNNNNNNNNNNNNNNNNNNNNNNNNNNNNNNNNNNNNNNNNNNNNNNNNNNNNNNNNNNNNNNNNNNNNNNNNNNNNNNNNNNNNNNNNNNNNNNNNNNNNNNNNNNNNNNNNNNNNNNNNNNNNNNNNNNNNNNNNNNNNNNNNNNNNNNNNNNNNNNNNNNNNNNNNNNNNNNNNNNNNNNNNNNNNNNNNNNNNNNNNNNNNNNNNNNNNNNNNNNNNNNNNNNNNNNNNNNNNNNNNNNNNNNNNNNNNNNNNNNNNNNNNNNNNNNNNNNNNNNNNNNNNNNNNNNNNNNNNNNNNNNNNNNNNNNNNNNNNNNNNNNNNNNNNNNNNNNNNNNNNNNNNNNNNNNNNNNNNNNNNNNNNNNNNNNNNNNNNNNNNNNNNNNNNNNNNNNNNNNNNNNNNNNNNNNNNNNNNNNNNNNNNNNNNNNNNNNNNNNNNNNNNNNNNNNNNNNNNNNNNNNNNNNNNNNNNNNNNNNNNNNNNNNNNNNNNNNNNNNNNNNNNNNNNNNNNNNNNNNNNNNNNNNNNNNNNNNNNNNNNNNNNNNNNNNNNNNNNNNNNNNNNNNNNNNNNNNNNNNNNNNNNNNNNNNNNNNNNNNNNNNNNNNNNNNNNNNNNGUAGUUUUGGCUUUAUCUCAAACCCAAAUUAAAGCGUUUAGAGCAAAUCUGACACGGAGUUAAUUGUUCAUUAUAGGUGAAGUUCUAUCAACAAUAAAUUUUCAGACAAAUGUAACAACCCAUUGUUGGGUUGCUGCCACUAGAUUGGUAAUUUUAAGGAAACAUUGCAUUUAUACAACUGCAAAAAGUUUUUUGCCAUCAUAUAUUGGUAUCAUGUAGUCGUCGUCGUCCGAAGACAUUUUGUUUUCGCAUAAUUACUUUAGUAUAAGUUAAUAGAAAUCUAUGAAAUUCAAACACAAGGUUUGUGACCACAAAAAGGAAGGUUGGGAUUUAUUUUGGGAGUUUUUUUCCAGAGUUUAGGAAUUAGGGGCCAAAAGGGUCCAAAAUUAAACUUUGUUUGAUUUUAUAGAAAAUUGAAUUAUUGGGUUUUUUUGAUAUGCCAAAUCUCUAACUGUGUAUUUAGAUUCUUAAUUUUUUUGGUCCUGUUUAAAUUGGUCUACCUUAAGGUCCAAAGGGUCCAAAAUUAAACUUAUUUUGAUUUUAACAAUAUUUAAAUUCUUGGUGUUCUUUAAUAUGCUGAAUCUGAAUAUUUACUUAGAUUUUUUAUUAUGGGCCCAGUUUUCAAGUUGGUCCAAAUCGGGGUCCUGUUUUGGACGGUCCAAAAUUUUACUUUAUUUGAUUUCAACAAAAAUUGAAUAUAUGGGGUUCUUUGAUAGUCUGAAUCUAACCAUUCAUUUAGAUUUUUGAUAUUUUGGCCCUUUAUCAAAUUGGUCCACAUUGAGGUCUAAAGGGUCCAAAAUUGAACUUUAUUUGAUUUCAUCAAAAAAUGAAUUAUUGGGGUUCUUUGAUCAUGUUGAUAUGCUGCAUCUAACCAUGUAUUAAGAUUUUGAAUAUUGGACCAUAUUAGAGGUUAAUUUUCAAUUUUAAUUUUUUUUUAAGUACUUGGACCACAUUCAUUCUGUGUCAGAAACCUAUGCUGUGUCAACUAUUGAAUCACAAUCCAAAUUUAAAAUUCAGAGCUGUAUCAAGCUUGAAUGUUGUGUCCAUACUUGCCCCAACUGUUCAGGGUUCAACCUGUACGGUCGUAUCAAGCUUAGCCAUGCGUAGCAUUUUUAUUGGUUAUUAUCUUGAAUCUUAUUUCUGAUAAAGAUAUACUGUAAACAGCAAAUAUAAUUAGCAAAGUAAGGUCUACAAAUAUGAUAUUAAUACAACCAAAAUUGUCAAUUGACCCCAUAAGGAGUUAUUGCCUUUUAAAGACAAUUUUUCACAAUUUGUUCAUCUAGUUUGCUUAAUACUCUAAAGAAUCUUCUCCUUUGACAUUGCGGAAUCUAUUACAGCCAAACUUGGACUGAAUGAGUUUCAGAGUAACUAGUAUAAAGUUUGUAUUUUAUUUCCUUUUACGUCAAGAAACAUAGUCACUUUAUCAUGUUUAUAGUAACAUGGCUAAAAUGGAACAUAGGGGUAAAAUGAUCACAAAUGGAAGAUUGAUGCAAAAAAUGUCAGGUGAGCACUUCAGGCUCUUGAGAGCCUCUUGUUUAAUUGCUUCUGUAAGUAAUAUAUAUUAAUUUGAAAUUUUGACGAGUGAGACACAUACAGAUUAUACUGUAAACAAUAUUUCAGAGUUUAACGUAGUCAAGCGAACAAAUCAUAGAAGAAUAGUUGAAUCAUGUCUUUGUUGUCCAAUGAAAAGUUAGUACGAACACGAAGAAAAAGUAUGGGAAUGUUUGUUUUUUAAACUAUUGACCAGGGUGAAAGUCUUUGAAAGUGAUGACUGGCAAAAAGUCUGUGAAAUGAAAUAGCACAAAUAUUCCAUUCUUUUUAAAUAUUACUAGAACACACCCGUGAUAUCGCGGGUCCGUGACUGAAUUAAAAUAUAUAACUAUGCGCAAGCCUUAUCUUCGUAUUAGUACUGCCAUCUGAUAAAGUCAUGCCGAUUAUAAGAUACACAAUUUUCUCUGCUUUCAAAUCUUUCUGUUUGAACCCGUCGAGCUGGAACUUAUCAAUUAUUGGUAAUAUUAAUUAUUUGGAAAACAAAAGAUCCUGGAAUGGAGUUUUUUUUAAUUAACAGCAUUGUCCUAUAUUAGUUAUAAAUACAGUUGAAUUCUUUGAUUCGCUGUUUUACGUCAUGCCCGCUAACAAAUUGAAACUUAUUUUUAGUCCAGAUUUUUAGUAUUCGUAUUGUUAUCUUAAAAAAUUUGUCCAAGACUAUUUAAAUUCCGGUAUAUUUCUGAAAUUAAUUCUUACAUACUUUGAUUUAACCUUGUAUGCUAACAAUGCCCAUGUGAAAUUUAAAAAUUGUCUAUAUAUACAUUGAACGACAAAUAUUUGUAACGUCAGACACGCGAAUUAAUGAAUUUGUUUGUAGAUAGAUGUUUUUGUGGUGUGUUAAAUUUUUCCUUUUAAAAUUGUUACACAAUGAUGACUGCUGUACCCAUAUUUUGAUUAUUUUCAUUAUUAUUUACUAGUAGAUAUAGGAAGAUGUGGUGUGAGUUCCAAUGAGACAACUCUCCAUGCAUUUAACAAUUUAUAAAUUUAAAGUAAACAAUUAUAGGUCAAUAUACGGUGUUUAGGUCACGCAUCAUUGUAAAUAUAACGGAAUUUGAUGAGACUGUCAUCAAAGUGAGAGGGUUAGCACUAUAAAAACCAGGUUUAAUCUACCAUGUUCUACAUUUGAAAAUGCCUGUACCAAGUCAGGAAUAUGACAGUUCUUGUCCAUUCGUUUUUGAUGUGUUUUUUUAUUUGAUUUUGCCAUGUGAUUAUGGAAUUUCCGAUAAGAUUUACCUCUAAGUUCAGUAUUUUUGUUAUUUUACCUUUUUCGUUACGGAGCACCAGAUGGAAUAAUUGCUGAUUGCGGAGGAGAAUUCAAAUCGAAAAUGACUGCAGAAUUGAUGAAGAAUUAUGGGAUAAGGCGUAUAACUACAUCUUCCUACCACCCACAAGCCAACGGGUUAUUUGAAAAUUUCAACCAGACUAUAAAAUCAAUGAUUAAUAAAGUUGCGGUAGAUAAUGGAUCAGAUUGGAAUAUGAAAUUAGAAAAAAGUGUUGUUCGCAUAUAGGAUAUUUAUGCACAAAAGUUCUAAAUAUACUCCCUUUGAAGCCAUGUUUAUACGCAAGCCUUUAUUUCCCAAUGAAGCUGAUAUAGGUCCUGGUUCAGCAGCACCAGCAGAGGAUAUGUCAGUAGAAAUUGCAGAGAUUUUUCUAGAAAAAGAAACGAGAUAGAAGAUGACAUGACCACAAACAUAGCUAAUGCUCAACAACAACAAAAGGAGUAUUAUGAUAAACGACAUAACGUAGAUAACAAUUCAUAUAAGGUCAAUGACAAGAUACUUUUGAAGAACUUUCGUCGUGAACAUGGUAAUGGAACAGUAGAACAACUGAGAUACAAAGAGCCACAUAUAAUAAAGAAAUGUUGUGGAAAAGGAAACUAUUUACUCACGACUUAGAUACCAGAAAGGAAUUGGGUCCAUACAAUCAGAAAUCGUUAAAAGUUUGGAAUGAACCACAUUGUAACAAUGCUAAUACAUGUAAUACACUUGAUGGCAAUGAUGAAGUAGAUGAAAAUAAUAAUAAUGAAAGCUUGCCAUAAGAUAAAGAGGACUCUUAUAGUAGCAUUGCAAAUGGAAGCAAUGGAAGUGGCACAAAAAGAAUAUCUUUUGAUGCCUUCAUUCUUAUUGAAAAUAUUCAAAAUUCUGAUGAUGAAUAUCCUACAUCAGCUCAGUAAUUCUUUUCCAACAUGUCUAAUCCCAUUAAUCCUGCAUCUUUUGACUUGCUUGAUGUAUCACUACGUGAAAUGUUUCUUCCCAAUGUUAAUCAUGAACCAAAUGAUGACAUUGAGGUGUUAGAGAAAGAUAUUCAAAUUUCGGCUCCCAAAAAGUGUAAAAAAGAAAACCAAAUGGAGACAAAACAGCAUAUAUGAAUAUUUAUAAUGAUAAUGUUUGUAAUUCAAGUAUUGUUUGGCAUGAAGUUUAGAAAAUGAUUUUUUUUUGUUAACUGCAUCUGUUACUUAUUUCAUGUUAAAUAAUUUUAUAUAUGUUAUAAUAAUCUUUUAAGAAAAUCAGGAUGAUAUGAAUGCCAAUGAGAUAACUUAAGUAUUUCCUGUCAAAGAAAGGCCGUGUUCACCUUGACCUAAACUCGGUGUUGUGUUAGUGUAACUCACACAUAAACUAAACAUAAUUACGUUUCCAUUGAUAAAACUCAAUGUUUAAAUCAUAUUUUUUCUACAUGCAGUCGAUAGUCGAUGUAGGCCUUGUGUAGGUUAAGUGUACACAAAACUAGGCAUUCAGAACUUUAAUUUUCCCCAUGUAUAUUUAAAAAAGAAACGAUUUUUAUAUACAAUUGAUACUUAUAACACUUAUUAAUAAAGUUCUUUACAGAAAUAUUUGUCUAAACUUUAUACAUUUAUUUGUUAAAAAAACACUUUACGUAGCCUUAAUAAUCCCUUAUCAAGACUCCUCCAUAAUCAUUGUCGAACACAUAAUUCAUUUGAAAUGGUCUUUCCGGAUCGAUUGGACGUAUACACUAACAAAAACAUUUGCUAGCAUAUUAAUCUAUUGCAAUAAAAAAUCAUAAUAUCUAAUUUUGUAGAUUUAGCUAACAAAGUCCUUAUAUUUGUAUAAAGUAACAUUUUUUUAUAGUGGAAAAUUGUUUUAACGUUGAAUAAGCUUAUAUAUAUUUUAUUCUGAAGAACCUAUGUUGAUACAAUGGUAUACAGAAAUACAUAGACAUACAUAAUAAUACUAUGAAACAUGGUGAGGUUACAGCAAAUAGAGAAGAAAAGAAUGCAUAGGUUUGGAGGAUUCCAUUUUAUCAGAGAGAAUCCAUUUUUGUAUUAAUGAUUCUAAUAAGCAUACACAGCUUUUAAAGUUUUGAUUGUUUUGAAAAAUUCAUAACUGCUUUAAAAUUGAGAGUAUUAAUGUUGGUACAGAAUUUUUCAUCUAUACAUUCUUUCCUUUCUUCGGAAAAAUAUGUACAUUCUAAAAUAUAGUGAAAUUCAUCUCCAAUUUCAUGACUAUAACAUAAGUUACAAGUUCGAUUUUCUCUGAGUAUGUUUUCCAUCUACCAGAUUCUAUUGGGAGCUUGUGAUUUACGGUUCUAAGUCUGCAAAGAGUGAAAGACUUCGACAGUCAGAAAAACAUUACAAAAAAGUCAUGGACGAGAAUAUUAAACUAUAUAACGAAACUUGCGCACUAAGAUGAGAAAUAUGCGAUUCAAAAACCCAGGGAAUUUUGGAAAAUUUGGAUAAAGUUAAACAUAAAAACAAUUGUAAUAUCACCACUGAGUCAUUGUUUAAUUUUUUUAAAGAUAUAAAAAAAAAAUAAGUAUGAAGGAAAUACUUAUGAUAUUGACAAUGAUGUUAGCCAUGAAUCUUCAAAUUCUAUGUUAAAUGAAAGUAUUGCAGCUGAAGAAAUAUUAAAAGCUAUAAAACAUAUAAAAAAUAACAAAUCGUCGAACCACAGAAUUACCGUCCUAUCACUCUUUUGUCAUGUCUAGGUAAGAUUUUUACUUCUAUUUUAAACACUAGAUUAUGUGAUUAUCUUGAUGAGUACUCUAUUUUACUAGAAAAUCAAGCCGGUUUCAGACAUGGAUAUUCAACUACUGAUCAUUUUUUUUCAGUGUAUGCACUAUUCGAGUUGCUAAGAUUAAAGAAAAAGAAACUUUACUGUGCCUUUGUCGACUUUGAAAAGGCCUUUGAUUUUAUACAAAGACAUUUUUUUAUUAUUUAAACUUUUAGAGAAUAAUAUAAAUGGCAAUUUUUUUCGUAUUAUACAAAAUAUGUACGAAAAUGUAAAAUCACGCAUUUUAUUUAAUGGUGAUAAAUCAAAGUUAUUUACUUGUGGAAUGGGUGUAAGACAGGGAGAAAAUCUUUCCCCUGCUCUGUUUGCAAUAUUUUAAAAUGAUUUACAGCAUUUUUUGAAGGCAAAGAUGUACUUGGUGUAAAUUCUAUUAGUGAUGACCUCGAACACGAGUUAACAGUAUUUUUAAAAAUAUUUAUGUUAUUACAUUUAUAUGCGGAUGGCACUGUGAUGUUUUCCGAGAGUAGUGAAUAUUUUCAAAAUAUGUUAAAUGAAUUUGAUGAUUAUUGUGAAAAAUGGCAACUUAAAAUAAAUGUUAACAAGACAAAAGUUCUUAUAUUCUCCAAAGGGAGACAAACCCAAAAAAUAUUAGAUUUGUUAUACAGAAUAGAGAAUUAGAAAUUGUAACUAAGUAUAAAUACCUCGGUAUAUUUUUUUGCUAGAAGUGGUUCUUUUUUAAAAGACCCGAAAAUAUAUUGUGAACAAGCUACAAAAGCAAUGUAUGGUAUUUUAAAAAAGUGUAGACAAAACAGUUUGACUAUAGAAUGUUAGACAUGUUUGAUAAAAAUAGUUUACCUAUUCUCGUUUAUGGUUCGGAAGUUUGGGAUUUGAAAUUUUGAUUUGAUAGAAUGUGUACAUUUAAAAUUUGUUAGCUUGUUCUACAUUUAAACAGAGUACAUCUAGCUGUAUUGUUUAUGCGGAAUUAGGUAGAUAUCCUGUAAUUGUAAUGCAAAGUUGAUGGUUAGUUUCUUAUGUAGAUUACUAUGUGUAAAGAAGUAAAAAUUUCAUGUCUUUUAUAUAAACUAUUGUAUAUUAAUUUCCAUAACUAUGAUCUUAACUGUAAAUGGAUAUCAUUUGUAAAAAAUGUUUUUGAUACCUGUGGAAUGUCAAAUAUCUGGUUGAACCAAAUGUUAGAUAAAUGGGUAAUUAAAAGUAUUGAGUUGAAACUUAAAGACCAGUUUUUGCAGAACUGCCUAAGCGAAAUUAACACUACUCUUAAAUGCUUAUGUUAUAGAAUUUUUAAAACUGAUAUUAAAUUAGAAUGCUAUUUUUCCAAAUUGUCAAUAUAUAAUCAAUUUAUAUUGUGUAAGUUUAGAUGUGGAAGUCACAGAUUACCUAUCGAGACGGGAAGAAGGAAUAACAUAUCAAGAAAUGAUAGGUUGUGCCAUCUUUGCGAAUCAAGAGAAGUAGGUGAUGAAUAUCAGUAUGUAAUGUCAUGUAAUGCUCUAAAUCAAGAAAGAAAGAGGUUGUUACCAUACUAUUGUACUCUUCGUCCAAAUAUUCAUAAAUAUCAACAAUUGAUGAGCUCUAAUAAUUAUAUUGUUCUUGAAAAACUAUGUAGAUUUAUAAAAAUUAUAAAUGUGAGGGUCACUCCUCCUGGUUAGUUUGUAAUUUAAUGUUUAUGUUUGCAUUGUUCACAUGUGCUUCAAUAUUUAAUGUAAUUGUUUAUAUAUUCUCUGUAACUAUGUAAAUUGUAGUUUAUGAGAAAUAAAAUUCAUUCAUUCAUGAUAUUUUGAUACAUAUUAAAGAUAAUGUUGUACAUUUUGCCACUUAUAUUACUUAAAAGCAUUUUAUACCACAGAGCAUCCUAUCGAACAGUGUCAAAUGCCUUCUCAAAAUCAACAAAUGCACAAAAGAGCUUCUUUUUCUUAUUUCUUAGAAUUUCAAAAAAUGAAUGCAAAACGAACAUGCAAUCAGUUGUCGAAUAACCUUCACGAAAACCAAAUUGAUUUUCCUUAAUCAACAAUGUUUCUUCCGAAAAAUUUUAUUAAUUGCAUUUAAGAUUGAAGUAAAUAGUUUUCCAAAACAGCUAACAAUUGUAAUCGGGCGAUAAUUUUUAGGGUUGUAUUUAUCAAAUAUAAAUUAUUUAAUAAAUAAAACAACACAUAAAUAAGAUAAGUGUGCCUACAGCUGUAGCAGCCUUUAGUAUUAACUUUACAUUCAAUAUGAUUCUCAAACUAGAGUCCUUCACAUUAAAUUCAGACACACUACCAAUCCAAUCAUACAAUAGCACAGUAAUACAAUCAAAAACUAUCUACAAAAGAGGAAAAAAUCAUAUUAAUAUAAUGUAAUAUAUACAUAUACUCCCAUUGACGAUAACCAUCUCAUAAAAAAGGGGAGGGGUGGGGUAAACAUAAUAACGAAUGCUGCUACGUUGAACUAUAGGCAAGCUUCGAAUAACUUAAUUUUCUUAAACUAACCCCUUAAGUAAUACUCAAUCAUGCUUUUCACGAAAUAUGAGGCAUAUACCCGUAAAACCGCAAUACGGGUAUAUGCAUCCAAUCAAGUUGACGUAAAACACUUGUGCUUGAUAUAACACACACGUGUUUAUAGUAAACAAUCACUUGACUAUUACAACGUCAUGUGACUUAAUACCUUUGAUAAAUAUAUUUAUUUUUGUAAAAUGGUUUAAUGGUCCCAAUUACCCAUGAUUCAGGAAUUGUCCCCGAUUCAAAGAUAAGAUUGAACAAUUUGACAUAAAGUUCCAUAUACUGACCAAGCGAAGAUUUUAUGUAUUCGUUGAUAAUUUUAUCAUCUGAACAGGCUAUGUUGUUUUUCAGCUUUUUUACGCACUUUAAAAUUUCAUCUUCAGUUAUCGGCACAUUAAGGCUUUCAUUGAUGUUAUUAUCAAAAUCGCAAUGAGCUUGAGAAGUGUCUUUUGUAUCGUUUAUAUUUUCUGUGGCUGUAUUUAGUUCUUUAAAAAAUGUAAGCAAAUUUUCAAAAUCUACAUUUGGUUGUACUGUGCCAUCACGGUUAUUCAAAAUUUUCCAGUAUUCUUUCGUAUCUUUAUUUUUCAGUAUUCUUUCGUAUCUUUAUUUUUUCAGUGAAUUUAUUUUAUUUCUGAUUUCUUUCCUGUAUUUCUUUUGCGCCUUAUUCAUUACUUUUAUAAUGAAUUUCGCUUGCUUUUGCGAGGUUGCAGUAAUGUGUAGACAGAUUGUUUCUGCGUUUAAAUUUCCGAAAUUGUUGUCUUGCCUUUGACAUGUUUGAGCAAUCUAAAUCAAACCAAGGUUUGUUUUUGCGUGCUUCGUUGGAUAUUUUGUUAUAAUAGUAGCUUAAUAAACGUUUUUUUAGUGCCAAAAGUAUUUUUAGCCGAAUCUAAAAGACUUUUUCCUAUUUUAUGUACUAUUCAGUUUAUACUUAAUUGGGGCGAGUUCUUAGUGUCUUCAAUUUCUUUCACUAAGAUGGCUAUCAUUUCAGUAUCAAUAUUUUCUUGGAAAAGCAAUGAUUUUGAAGGGUCCCAUUUCUUUAUUUUCUCAUCUUUGCCAUUAUCAAUGUCAUCAUUUGUUUCCUUAUCUAAAAUUAAGCACUUGAUUGAAAGCAGUAAAGAGGAAUGAACGUCGGAAUAUAAACUGGAAAAAUCUAAAAUUUCAAAGUUUAAAAAAUUUUGUAAAAAAGAUACAUUACUGAUGCAAUAAUCGACUACGCUAGCAUUUCGACAUGUUAAUUUAUUUACCUUCCCUAUCUCUUGUUGUUCUGCCAUUCAUGAUAAAAAGAUUAUUAUCUUUACAGAAAUCUAAUAACUGAUUCCCAAAACGGUUUUUGCAUUUGUCUUUAUUAUUCCUUUUCCGGGUCAAGUUUUUUUCGUCUAAUUCACACACCAUGUUUACAGUCACACCCUCAUCAUAAGUACAUAUAUCAUUUUCAUUAUCAUAAAUAAAAUCUCUGUCUUCUGCUGUUCGCGCGUUAAAGUCACCGAUAAAAAAUACUUUUUUCAAAUUUCCUUGAGAGAUCUAAAUAUUCGUUUUCAAUUUCAUCGAGAGCACUUGACGAAGAGUAUGAUGUGUAUUCCGGUUGAAUAUAGAUAAUACCUAGUAUAACAUCUUGGUUAGAACAUAUAAUUUUUGAUAUUUUACACCACUAAACAAAUUUGCAAUCAGUUUUUAUAACCUCAUUAUUUUCAUGAAGGUGUUCUUUAAAACACACAGCUAUACCCCCUGGACUUUAUUCUACUUUCUUUUUUCCUAUUUUUCAAAAUAAAUUUAUACCCUUUAAGCCGAAUAUCGUCCAAAUCAUCAGUUUUAGUUUCUACAAAGCAAGCAAUGUCAUUUUUGUAAAUUAGUUCACUAAAUUCGGGAUAAUUGAUUCUUGAUUUUAGACCACAACAGUUAAUACACAGUAUAUUUAAAAUGUUCUGCUCAUUUUCUAUAUGGACUUCUUCAUUCAAGCUACAAUUAAACAUUGCUUGCUAGUCCCUCUCUGUGAUUACCGUUAGAUAACUCUGGUUCAUUUCCCAAUCAAUCUAUCAUCAAGGGAAGAUAAAUAAUUCGAUUUUCAUUCAUAGUCUUUUUUUCAAAAUGAUGAACGUUCUUAUAUUGGUAUGUAAUCAUUUUAAACGUUUCAAAUUUAUGAAAUUAUAUUCGUAUAUCAAUGUUUUGAUACACCAAUAACAAAAACUGAAAUAUAUUGAAUUGAUACAUUUUGUAAUUAUUCAAAAUUAUAUCAGAAACCUAAAUUUAAUUAUAAAAAAAUGAACCUGUUAAGGGGAUACAAUACUCGCAUACUUUUUUCGAAUUGGCACAUAAUACAACGAAAUGUCACUCUUGCAUACAAAUGAAACAUCAAUAUAGAAAUGUCAAUAUAAUGAAUUAACUGUGCAAUCGUGCUCCACCUUCAAUACUGUUUCUAAAUUAUAAAUAUACUUAGUAACCAAAAGUUGUUAAUUUAUAGAUAGUGAAGACUAAGGAAAGCUAACCCACUGUACAAAUAUUUCUUUGCAAUUUUUUAAAACUUCCUCAGAAAAAUGCUCGAGCCACUUGACUUUCAUAGCUCAAAUUAACGUUUUUACACAAUAUUUGAAUUAAUAGUAAAGAUUAUCGCUUCUCAAAGUGUAAGACGCAAUAAAAAUCGUAUGCUUUCACAUCUUACCGAAAUACGGAUUUAAUUAAGUCUAAACAUUUCGACAUUUUCUUCGUUUAUUUUUAUCAAAACCGGUUUUAAACAAAUCACAAAUACGUGUUAAGAUCAGACUAAAUACUUAUUUCCCGAUAUGGUCAGGUGAAUUUGCUACAUUUGUCACUGGUCUUUACUCAAACACCGAUUCACUCGUCAAUGCAUUACUGAAAAAGGGUGAGGUUUAUUGUUUUUUUGUGUAGUAUCACAGACCCGUUAAAAAUAAAAUUACAAAUAAACCAGAUGUUCCGCAGAGGUUGAACUUUGAACAGGUGGGGCAAGUAUGUACACAACAUUCAAGCUGGAUUCAGCUCUAAAUUUGAAUUGUGAUUAAAUAGUUGACACAGCAUAGGUUUCUGACACAGAAUGAAUGUGGUCUAAUGAACUUAAUUUUUUUUUGCCUUUGAGCAAUUCACUAUGCUGUUGAAUAUUAAUCCUCUCAUAAAAAUGUUUGAAGAAAUUUUCUUUUUAUUAAUGAAUCUGAAAUGAGAAAAAUUGAACCCCCCCCCCACAAUUUUUUUUCUCACAUUACCCUUUCUCUUAUUCCAAAACUGAUCUCAAUUCAAAUUUCUAAUGGAGUUUGCAACAAUAACUACUCAUUUAAAUACAUCAUAAAAUAUUAAAAUGUUAAAAAAGUGCUUGUAAUCACUGAAUGGUAAAGAUUUUUUUAAUUUCUUAGUUGGUAGUAAAAGUGAAUAUACACUGUAUAUUGUAUAAAACAAUGAUUUAAGUUGAUUCAAUUACUAUUCUGGACAUAGAAAGAUAGCUACAAUUUUCAAAGAAUAUUUCAUAAAAUCUGUGCAAUUGAAAAUUUCUUACUUUUGCGCAAUAUUGUGCAAUUAGAUAUUUCUUGCUAUUGCGCAAUGCUGUGCAAUUGAAGAUUCCUUGUUAUUGCACAAUACUGUGCAAUUGAAAAUUUCUUGCUAUUGCACCAUACUGUGCAAUUGAAGAUUGCUUGCUGUUGCGCAAUACUGUGUAAUUGAAAAUUUAUUGCUAUUGUACAAUACUUAAUAUAAUAAUGUUGGACCCCGAUUUGAACCAACUUGAAAACUGGGCUCAUAAUAAAAAAUCUAAGUACAUUUUUUAGAUUCAGCAUAUCAAAACCCAAGAAUUCAAUUUUUGUUAAAAUCAAGCUAAGUUUAAUUUUGGACCCUUUGGACCUUAAUGUAGACCAAUUUGAAAACAGGACCAAAAAUUAAGAAUCUGAAUACACGGAUAGAUUUGGCUUAUCAAAGAACACAAAUAAUUCAUUUUUUUAUGAAAUCAAACAAAGUUUAAUUUUGGACCCUAUUGACCCCUAUUUCGUUGGGACCAAAACUUCCAAAAUCAAUCCAAACCUUCAUUUUGUGGUCAUAAACCUUGUGUUAAAAUUUCAUAGAUUUCUUUAAACUAAUAGUAAAGUUAUUGUGCAAAAACCAAGAUAAAUGCUUAUUUAGGACCUGUUUUUUGCCCCUAAUUCCUAAACUGUUAGGUCUGAAACUCCCAAAAUCAAUCCCAACCUUCCUUUUGUGGUCAUAGACCUUAUGUUAAAAUUUCAUAGAUUUCUAUUUACUGAUACUAAAGUAAUUGUGCGAAAACCAAGAAAAAUGCUUAUUUGGGCCCUGUGUGGCCCCUAAUUCCUAAACUGUUGGGACCAAAACAUUCAAAAUCAAUCCCAACCUUUCUUUUAUGGUCAUAAACCUUGUGUUUAAAUUUCAUAGAUUUCUAUUUACUUAUACUAAAUUAAGAGUGCGAAAACCAAAUGUCUUCAGACAAUCGACGACGACGACGGACGACGACAACGACGCCAACGUGAUACCAAUAUACGACCAAAAAAUUUCAAUUUUUGCGGUUGUAAAAAAACACAUUUCCCCCUCCCUUUUCCAAAUACUCUAUGGGGGAAAAAUCCCAUUUGAAACAAACAGAAAAGGUAGAAAUGUUUGAUCCUUAACAUUGCAAUUCUUUUUAUUCGUCUGCAAGCACGCUGAUGCAGCCUACGUUUUUAAUACGUGAUCGAGACAUCUUUACUCUACUGCAAAUCAUCCAAAAUGACUUUCUUAAAAAAGACAACUUAACUACAAAAAAAAGGGGGGGGUUUCUGAGUCAGAAUAUUUUCUCGCGCGAAAGUUUAUAUUUAAUUGGGUUUUUUUUCGAUGGUACCAAUUCAAUAUUUAACACUAUAAUGUAUAAGGGAAACUUUGGAUUCAGAAUAUUUGUUCAUUCUAACCGUCUGUAUGACUUAAUUUUUUUUAUCAAUCCAUCCUCCUUAACAAGUUUUUUUUAAGUCAAGUGGUCGUUCCCUAACUGCUAGAAAAGUUGUUUGAAAUUCGGUUCUACGUAUGAACAUUAAAAUGAUAUAUACUAUAUAGUUUAUAAGUGUGAACAAAUCUUAUGUACAGGUAGCUAAACAAGGUAUAUAGAUCAUUAGAUAUGAACAAAUUUAAUGUGAAACUAGUGUACAUUACAUUAAACCAAAUGUAAACCUGUUUACUGUACACGGCGUUUGGUGUGAACACGGCCUAACACAAUUAAUGUAUUAAAAGUUAGCAAGUAGAGAUUAAAAUACAUUCAGUAAUAUAACUUAGCAAUGGAUGUUAUUUAAUACUUUAAUCAUACCAAAAAAUGUCCUGUGAAAAAAAUACCAGGUGGACAUCUUAUCACAGAAGUAUAAUAUUUAAUUAUGUCCACGUUGGUAGACACUUUUUCAUACCUAAAGACAUUUUGUCAUAGAAAAAUGUGUCCAGGACAUAUUUAAAUAAGUAAAUAUUGUCCACGGGUCGUAUUUACUAGGAAAUAAUGUCCGAUGGACACUGUUUUAUUGGGGACAUUAUUAAAUCCUACAUCUGGAUAAGUAAUCCCGGGGGCCGGAGGGGUUUCUUAUCCGACACGCCGUAUUCCGAGGUGUAUAGCUAACUUACACCUCAUUAUAAACCCUAUAUUUGUUAAUACACGAAACAGUGAACCUUGACCUGCUUAUCUAAAUUAGCGCAUGGAUUUAACGGGAAUAUCUAAAACACUUUGACAUUUGUAAAAUAUACUCACUUGUCAAAGUUUGAACGCGGAUAACCAAAGAAAGGUUACUUGUUUGGUUUCGUGUAAUAAAAAAAAAUCUUAUAGAUCAUGGUUUGAUAUUAUCAAAAAAAUAUGCUAUCGUUUUUAUGUUUUUUUUUUUCAUUUAAUAAUAAAUGUUAACAAAUAUAGGGUUGACGGGAUUUUUUUUCCAGAUACACCUAUCCCUAACCUUAGUAAUUUCCUACUUACAUAUACAUAUAUAUACUUCUACUGGUUUUGUUUCCUGUAUGACAAGAAAUCCAACUUUUUUCUCCCUUGAGGCGCCCCAUUAAAAUAUAGCGACAAUUUAACUGAAGAGGUUAUAAACUAGAACAUAUAUAGUAAUACUCCUAGUUAAGGUAAUUAUAGUACAAAGUUUUAGAUAGUUUUGUUUGUUUAUUUGAUUUUUAAAGUUCUUUACAAUAUUAUACAGAAAUGAUUUUUCAUUUUUACAUACACUACCGAUUUAAAUGUUCAAUUUUAAUUGAAUAUAUCAUCAGAUAAAUCAAUUUUUGAUGUAAAUUUUUAACACAACCUCAACGUCACGAUUGUACAUUUGUAUAUUGUUUAACAAGUAUGAAUAUAUUCUUAUUUUGAUUAACGAGUUAAAGGUGUAAGUGUUUAGGUGAAUCAGUUUUCAAAAUAUAAAAAAAUAAAUUAAAAAAAAAGUUUAUUUAUCAACCAAUUAUCAAGCCAAUUAGGAUGAAUUGUCAAAUACGAUAAUCGGAUUGGAUUUUGCCUAUUCUGUUUUACAGUUAAUAUAAACAGUGACUUAGUCUCGAUGACCCAGACGCAUAUAUAUAUAAAUAUAGUGUCUGGGGUGAUAAACCGGACUGGUAAGAUAUGUAUAGGGGGCGUAACAAAUAAUUAUAUGUAUAAAUAGCACUACCGUUAUCUUAAAAUGAUUUUAAAAUAUACUUAACUUAUGUCUACUAUUUUUAUAAAAGAUUAUUGAAAACCUAUCAUGUUGUCCAACUUGUUGAUGGGCAAUUUUAAUAUAGACGUGAUGUAAAAAAAAAACGGUUUAAAAUACCACUUCACACGUAUUCUUGUUCCCAGAGUUCUCAGCGAUUUAUAAACAUGUAAUAAAGAUCUUAUUAAAUCUUUAGUCAAAAUAAAGCUGUUUGGUCAUGCUUGUUCAGAUUUCGGUAAUUUUUUGGUUGAUUAAAAGUACGUUUAUACGUUUUAAUCUUUUCGUGAUUUUUUAUCAUACUAUAAUGACUUUAUCAUUAACUACUUUUUUUAGCUUAAAUUACUAAAAAAAAACGAUUAAAAAGUAAACUGUAAUUAACGGUGAUUUUUUUUUUACCUGAGUUUGUACAUUAAAAGAAAAAAAAAAUGAAUUUGUAAAGGAAGGUCGAACAAGCAUUUACAAACAAUGACUAAUUUCAACUCUUUGAGUUUUUUUAUCAAGUGUUAUUAAAAAUUUGUGUUGUUUUAAAUAAAGCGUUGACCACACACACUUGUAUAGAUCUAUAAUUAUAAUUCUGUCAGCAUGUUCUGAUAGCCAAAUACAGUUCUUCGUUACGGUGAAUAUGAUCCAAAAACUAAUGGAACAAAGAUUUUUUCCAGGGGUUGGAGAGGGUUUCCCCCUGGUUCCGUCAUUACUUGGGUGCCUCAGUGGGCGGUACUCAAGCACCUGCCUCGUCUGAUGUUGAGGCCUAUUUACGGCUCUUUUCUAUAUGUUAGUGCACUAUAAAAGACUUCAUAGGCGGAUCCAUGCCCCCACAUUUUUCGUGGAGGAAUUCCGUACCCUUCCUUUGAUUGAUUGUAUAGGGAAUCACUGGAGCAUGACUGUUACAGUAGCUCUCCGCUUUUAUUGGAUGUCAUAUAUAUCGUGCAUGAAGUUUCUGGGUGGCUGUCCGGUCUUUAUUCCUUAUUUCCUGUGUUUUCAAUUAAAUUUUAAUAUUAUUCUCUUUUUUAUAUUAUAUAUUACAGCCGAUUGCAUUGAGGUAAAAAGUAAAAUCACAAAAAUACUGAACUUAGAGGAAGAUCAAUUGGGAAAGUCCAUAAUCACAUGGCAAAAUCAAAUAACAAAACGCAUCAAAAAGAAUGGACAAGAACUUCAUAUUCCUGACUUGGUACAGGCAUUUUCAAAUGUAGAUAAAUGGUGGAUUAAACCUGGUUCUAUAGCGCUAACCCUCUCACUUUUGUAAGAGACAGUCUCAUCAAUUUCGAUAUUUUUACAUUGAUGCGUUAAAUAAACAGACACAAUAAAUAUAAUAGUCAAAAUACAGGAUGACCUUUAGUUAGUUUCAUUAUUAACUGAACCGUGGAGUCAUUAUGAUAUUAGGCAAACUACCCUCCUUUAAUAGUAGAAUAGUCCGACAGAUAACAAAUAUAUAUGUCUGAAGGACAAGACUACUUGAAAGGAGGGUAGAAACAUUAUACAAUAUUAGACUUUGUAUGAGGUCGAUACAAGGUAAAAAAAAAAUAUAUAUUGACGUCAAAGAAGUAUAUUGACUGAGGACGAUAUACUUCUUUCGGUCGAUAUUUACUGUAUUGACCUCAUACAAAGGCUGUAUUUGUUAUAUUAUUAAUUUUCCGACCAUAUUUGUAUAAAAAUAGUCAUUUGAUUUUGUUGGAAUUCUAUAAAUAUCAUAUUGUCUCCCAGACAUAUUAGUUGUUAUUUCAUUUACUUUUUGUUUCCCUAAACGAUUCAAAUUAGUUGAAAUAUACGAAUUAAUAAUAUAACUUAUAAUGACAUCACUGUUCAGCUAACAAGUAAGCUAACCAAAUAUAUUACCUUUACCUGCACACUCAAUGCAAUCGGCUGUAAAGCAUCCGUUAAUUCUCUUUUCUUUCAUUUAUUGUGCACUGUUUGCCUACUAGUACUUGGUCCGAGUACACAGUUAUUUCGUAGUGCAUUUCUUUUAGACAAUAAAUGAAAAGUAAAAAAAUCCCACCUGCGCUUUCUCAAUAAUAUUUUUACAGUGUGGUGUACUACUUUUGGGACAAAUUAUAUCAAAAUUAUAGAAAACUUCAUCAGCUCUACCUCAAAAUAUAGACAAUCUUAUGUAAAGGGGGUCUUAAAAUCUUUUGACAGCUUCCGAAGUGCUAAUUUUUGACCUUUUGCAGCUGGACCUAAUCACUACUUUACAUUAAUAUUUAUGACCCAACUUUUUUUACAGUGUCAUUUCACCCCCCAAAUUGCUAUAUUUGUGAUAAUACGAUCUACUAAAGUCAACACACUCAUUACAUUAAAUAAAAUAAAUACAAUAAAAUGCAGUAAUAAAACAUAUAUAUAGCAAAAAAUAAUGGUGUUCAUUGUGUUCUAGGUUGUGGUGCUAUUUGCCAAUAAAUAAAAUCGAGAGGGGUUAUUAUUUGUGAAAUUAAUAAGGUUUAAUUUGCUACUUUAAAAAUGUUACCGGAAUGGUCAGAUGUCACGGAUGAAAAAGCAUAAUUAUCCCACUCCAUAUGCCGUGCUCGUCAUGUUGCUCUUGCAAGUACAAAUUCGUAAAUAGAAGCACUAGUCUCGUUUGGUAAUGUCAGAUCUUGAAAAAAGUUGACGGCUAGUGAUAAUAACUAUAGUGGAACAUGUCCUUGGUAAUUUGUAACCAACUUGCAUCCUUUAAAUCACUUUUAAGAAGUUCUUAUCUUACUUGUAUGCGAACUGAUUCAUCUUCGGUAUUAUUUAAUAAAAUAUCUUUGUCUAUUACUAAGAAGUCUCGUAAUGGAACCUGAGAAAUAUGCAGAAAAAUUUUCCUCAACUGUGACGAAUGGUUUUAUUGCUUUAGAAAUAGCAAUAGGUCAUAAAUUAGGAAUAUUUGAUUCACUGAAGAAAUUCACUUCACCAGUAACAUCAUCAGAGCUCGCUGUAUCGUGCAAAUUGAAAGAAAGGUAUGGAUAUAACUUGGAUUCUAUUCAGCUCAUAACCUUUUCAAAUUUAUCAGAGGGGUUAGGUAAGAUAUUAAUGUCGGCUCUCAUAUCUUACAAGCAUAUCACAUCCCGUGUAAAUAUAAAAAAGAAGAUGAAGUAUGACUACCAAUGAGAUGACUCUCCACAAGAGUCCAAAUAAACGCAGAAAUUACAAACUAUAAGCUCAUAUCACAUGAAGUGAAUUAUAUGAAUACGGCUAUUAUUUUUUUAUUUUUCCUUUGUGGUCAUACAGCUGCAAACGUUUCUACGUAUAUAUUCAUACUUGGCUUUGAUAAUUUCGGGGUUUGGUCGUUCCUGACGAAGUUAACUAUAGAAUUGAACUUACACGUAGGUCGACGUACAUCAUGUAUGGAGUGUUAUUUUAUUCAUAUAAAUGCAAAAGUAUGGCAGGAUCAUUAUUAUUAUUCAUAACUCACAUCAGUAAUUUCUUAAGAUUUAGAGAGAUGUUUUUCCCAUUGAUUUGUAUAAUACACAGUCACGUUAACUUAUGGAUUAAAUUAUAUCUUGGGUUAACGUGAAUUAGACAGCUACCCAACUACAAAUCUAGAAGUCAGUCAUACAAGAAAUAUAUUUAAGGGUUUAAUUUAACAAGUAGCAUUAUCUAAACGAAGAUAACGUUCUAACAAUUAGAGUUUUAUAAAUCGUGUUUUCUUAAUUCUCAGUGGCAAAUAUUUCAUGGAUGUAAAGGACUAUCAUCACUGUCUUUACACGUUAUGCAUCUACACUUUUUAAUUGGAAAUCUCGAUUGAUUGAUUUAUUUGAAACUUAAAGCCGAUUUUUUUGUGGGGGUCAGAUUGAAUCCGAAGUGAGUGGGGAGAUUCUCAGAAUCCGAAGUGAGCGGGGAGAUUCUCAGAACUGCGGUUAGUAAUAGGCAAUUUUCCUUAAUUAAUAUUGGAGUCGCGCGCACUAGUCGCAUUUGUAGUUCGAACGCGAAACAUCAGUGCUAACAGACUAUUUAUAGCUUGUUGGGGCCCUUUAUAGCUUGUUGUAGUUGAGGCCCUUUAUAGCUUGUUGUUCGGUGUAAGCCAAGGCUCCGUGUUGAGCUACAGACUAUAAUGGUUACUUUUUAAAAUUGUUAUGGAUGAAUUGUUAUUGCACUCACAAAUUUCCUAUAUAAUACAGAAUUGAAUAAAAUCAGAACCUGUAUAGAAAUAACGUUUUAGUAAUAAAUGUGUUAUGAAUAAUAUUUUUACCAAGAUGACUUAAAGAAUAAAGCAAGAAGAAGAAGUAAACCGUUUUUAUCUCUUCCUUAGUAGUGAGAAGGUAGAUUAUGUCGCUGCUGGUUUAGUAUCACAACCUGGAUAAAUAUUAUACCAAAGCUGCCAAACUCAACCCAUAAGUGUCUACAUUGUUACUCUUGUAGCUGCAAUAUUAUUGGAAUGUUUUAAAGAGGACGGACCGAAAGAUAAAUUAUAUCUUCCACUUUUAAUUAAAAUGUUGGAUACUAUCUCACUGAGGUAUACCAAUAAGCUUUUUUUUUCUCUGAACUUUAUACUGUAAAUAUUACACUACAAAUGGUACAAUAACCAUUUUGUGAAGUUUUAAUCGUAUCCCUUCUUGAAAUACUACUCACGGUACCAAUGUCAUUUCACCAGAUGCACAUUGCGACACUUAAGGUCUCUUCAGUCAUGCUCGAGGCCAAACUUAUUGUUCUUAAACCUAACACAAACGUUGAAAACCUUAUCAAACUAUAAAAUGACUUACAGUGUAGCCAAAUCUGGAAAAGGAAUAAGAGCUUUGAAUGAGUAAGUCAGAAUUAAAUUUUACACGGCUUACGCCAGACGCGCGUUUCGUCUACAAAACGCUAAAAUUAAAAAAAAUGCACAAUAUCUUUACUGAAAUAUAGACAAGGAAAGAUAAUGGAUUUUUUUUUAUAGAUAGUGUUUUAAACUGUUUGUUAUUUGCUGCUAACGUAACAAUCGUACGCCCAUUAAAGCUAAAACAGUCGAUGGGUUACUAAUCCUUACUCGUCGCUAACUUCAAGAUCGUUAGCUAACUGGUCCUUAUUGGUCCAUUACUUACUGAUCGUUAGCUUACUGGUCCUUAUUAAUUGAUUUCGACUGAUAUAUUAUUGAUCCUUUUUGGUCGCUAGCUAACGGAUCAUAAUCAAUGCUUGCUGUCUUCUUGAUUGUUAGCUUACUUACUACUUUUUGUCGCUAACUUUCCGAUUGUCGGACCACCGGUUCUACAUUUUGUAAUAAGUCUCUAUCUAGCUAAUCUUUAAAUUACAAAUAGCAUUAUACUAAGCAGCAAAUAAUGUACAAAAUGUAUAUAUACAUAAGAAGAUGUUGUAUGAGUGCCAAUGAUACAACUCUCCAUACCAAUCACAAUGUAUAAAAAGUUAACAAUGUGGCUUUUUUUGUAAUACGCUAUCACGCAAUUUAUAAAAUAUGAUUUCAGAAUAUGAUUACAGUAACCAGUUUGAUACUUUGAUGUGGUUGGACCAUGACAAGAAGUCAUGUGAUAGUAAAUGGAUUAAUGAAAACGUAUAUCCGGUUGGAUACAAGGACACAGGUACAUGUAUAUAUUGAUAAUUUCAAAGUCAUGUUUGUUUCUCAUUCUUUGGAAUGAGACUAAAGCAAACACAACAUAUGUUACUGAUAAGCUUUUAAAAACAAAGGAAAUCAGAAAUUAAAAGGUUAUUUAUUUUGAUAUCAUCACACGCAUGUCCAAAAAUAUUUCAAUGUUUCAAAUCAAAACAUAAAAUACUAACAGUGUGCAUGACCACCUCGUCCACCUUUUAGCCUGAAUCAGACCGUUGUUUCAUUACACAUUUUAUGAUGUUGGGAUUAUGUUUGAUUUUACUAUACUGUAUGAGUUUUGGCCUUUGAUGAAACCCGUUCUUAAACCAGUCUUUACAUUCUUGUCCUUUUGACUCUGGUUGGUUGUUGUCUCAGACAAUGAAACCACAUCUCAUUAUUGUUUAAACCUGUGUAGUUCUUUCAGAUUGGAGUAUUGAAUAAAGAUGACUUUGAAUUUAAGAAAAUGUUUAAAACUAUUUACUAUGUUAGGGUUAAAGGUGUCUGUUUUUAAUAACUUAGCAUUUUUAUGUUAUCUCCGUGGUUAGUUGAUAAGAUUUUACAUAUUGGAAACAAAUAAUUUCUGUCUAUUAGUAUUACUGAAUAAACCGUUACAAAUUUCCCCGCUUAAUUGUACACUUUAACAGUCAUUUUAACAUAGCAGACACAUGAUAAAUGUCGAAAAUAAGGUUCACAAUCAAAUGCAGUAUAUUUGUGCAUAGUAAAUUAAAUAUUCACAAAUGUAUUUUCUAAGACAUAUGUCAAUACUUAAGGAUCAUUACGGCUUGCAUAUGUUAGUUUACAUAUUGAUUCACACGUAGGGUCUUUGCAUCAGAAUUAAAUACAUUUAUUCCAAAACCAGUUGUUGCAGGCAUAAUACAGGUUAUGUUCUUUUCAUCUUUUAUAUGAUGGUAUGAUACUCAACUAUAAUUAUGGUAUCUUUGAGAACUCCUAACGGAAGAGAUUGUACUUGAUUUUCAUAUGAUGAAGACAUUAUCUUUCAAUCAAUUUAAUUGAGGUCUUGACCUGGCAUGUCAGUAAUUGCUAGUAUCUUUGUUAAUUUAAUGUUUCAUUGUCAUUUGCUCUAGAUUUCUUUUGUUACUUUUUUUGACAUCAGACUUCUUUACAAACUGAAUUUUACGUGGCAUAUAGCUAGAGUUUUUUAUCCUACUUAGCUUAGAGGUAUAAGGGGAGGAUUGAGAUUUCACAAAACAUGUUUACCUCCGCCUCUUUUUUUAGCUGUCAAGUCAGGAGCCUCUGGCAUCUGUUAGUGUUGUAUUUUUUUUUUUUUUUAAAGUUUUAGUUUGUUUUAUUGAUUUAUAGUCCAUUGUUCACUGAGUAGUACAGACUUUUAUUUAGGGGCCAGCUGUGGAUCACCUCGGUGGCGGGAUUUUGAAGACCCAUUGUAUGUUUCGGUCUGUAUCUGCUUAAUUUGUAGGAAUUGAUGUCUCUUUGAACAUUUUCCCCAUGUCCAUUUCCUUUAUCAACUUUAUUGUUUGAAAACAAAAAUUUUAAAAUGCACUUAAAACAUAGCAAAAACGUUUUAACAGAUAUACGUUCAAAACAAAUCGUUUGAAGGAUAUAUAUACUCACGACAAAGGUACCCGGAAACACAACACACAACCAAUCGCUAAGAUUUUUUAAAAUCUUUUCGAGUUUGCAACGUAGUUAUAAUAGUACAAUUUUCAAAUUAUAAGCUAUCAAAGAACUUAUUUAGUUUCAAGGUAACUAUAAUAACUUAUGUUCUUUUUUUCCACAAAGAUAUCAUAACGCAAUGUUUUUGGAUUUUGGGAGUGGUCCCGGGAGUUUAAACCAUAAAUUAGCUCACAUUUUACCAAUGCCAAAGUAUACGGUGUGGAUAUUGAUCGAAAUUCAAUGAAAAAGCCAAGGAGAAUAAAGCGAAGGAAAAUAAUACCACAAUGUCGAAUUUAUUUUAUUGAACAUGACACUUGAAGGAGCAUGGACAAAAAAAUCGAUUGGAUAACUAUGGUGGAUGUAAUUUCAUGACUUCCAAAUCCAAAUUUAAGUAUACUACUGACAUCAAACGGGUUCUGAAGGAUGACGGUAUUGUAUCUGCGGUAGAUCCAUGCGUACUAAUUCGACCAUACAAAACAUCAAGGCAACCAAAGUGCUGCAAUGCUGUAUGUGUUUAGUACAUUUAUUUUGUUCUCCUUGUAGCAUGUCACGUGACACCUGCUGCUGCAAAACGGCAUCGAUGGGGCGUUCAGAAACUAGAGCGAAUUUAUUGA